AGAGUUUGAUCAUGGCUCAGAUUGAACGCUGGCGGCACGCCUAACACAUGCAAGUCGAGCGGUAGCAUGGUUGGUAGCAAUACCAACUGAUGACGAGCGGCGGACGGGUGAGGAAUACGUAGGAAUCUAUCCUUGAGAGGGGGACAACCAAGGGAAACUUUGGCUAAUACCGCAUAAACUCGAGAGAGGAAAGUUGCCGCAAGGGACACUCGGGGAGGAGCCUGCGUCCGAUUAGCUAGUUGGUAGGGUAAGAGCCUACCAAGGCGAUGAUCGGUAACUGGUCUGAGAGGACGACCAGUCACACUGGGACUGAGACACGGCCCAGACUCCUACGGGAGGCAGCAGUGGGGAAUAUUGGACAAUGGGGGCAACCCUGAUCCAGCGAUGCCGCGUGAGUGAAGAAGGCCUUCGGGUCGUAAAGCUCUUUAGGUUGGGAAGAAGGUUGUUAGGGGAUAAUCCUGGUAACUUGACGGUACCGACAGAAUAAGCACCGGCAAACUCUGUGCCAGCAGCCGCGGUAAUACAGAGGGUGCGAGCGUUAAUCGGAAUUACUGGGCGUAAAGGGCGCGUAGGCGGUUAUGUAAGUGUGAUGUGAAAGCCCUGGGCUUAACCUAGGAAGCGCAUCGCAAACUGUGUAGCUAGAGUAGAUGAGAGGGUGGCGGAAUUUCCGGUGUAGCGGUGAAAUGCGUAGAGAUCGGAAGGAACGUCAAUGGCGAAGGCAGCCACCUGGCAUCAUACUGACGCUGAGGGCGAAAGCGUGGGGAGCGAACAGGAUUAGAUACCCUAGUAGUCC
rnacentral:rRNA from 1 species